rnacentral:rRNA from 1 species
GACGAACGCUGGCGGCGUGCUUAACACAUGCCAGUCGAACGGAAAGGCCCUGCUUUUGUGGGGUGCUCGAGUGGCGAACGGGUGAGUAACACGUGAGUAACCUGCCCUUGACUUUGGGAUAACUUCAGGAAACUGGGGCUAAUACCGGAUAGGAGCUCCUGCUGCAUGGUGGGGGUUGGAAAGUUUCGGCGGUUGGGGAUGGAAUCGCGGCUUAUCAGCUUGUUGGGGGGGUAGUGGCUUACCAAGGCUUUGACGGGUAGCCGGCCUGAGAGGGUGACCGGCCACAUUGGGACUGAGAUACGGCCCAGACUCCUACGGGAGGCAGCAGUGGGGAAUAUUGCACAAUGGGCGGAAGCCUGAUGCAGCGACGCCGCGUGCGGGAUGACGGCCUUCGGGUUGUAAACCGCUUUCGCAUGUGACGAAGCGUGAGUGACGGUAAUGGGUAAAGAAGCACCGGCUAACUACGUG